GACGAACGCUGGCGGCGUGCUUAACACAUGCAAGUCGAACGGAAAGGCCCUGCUUGCAGGGUACUCGAGUGGCGAACGGGUGAGUAACACGUGGGUGAUCUGCCCUGCACUUCGGGAUAAGCCUGGGAAACUGGGUCUAAUACCGGAUAGGAGCCAUUUUUAGUGUGAUGGUUGGAAAGUUUUUUCGGUGUAGGAUGAGCUCGCGGCCUAUCAGCUUGUUGGUGGGGUAAUGGCCUACCAAGGCGGCGACGGGUAGCCGGCCUGAGAGGGUGGACGGCCACAUUGGGACUGAGAGACGGCCCAGACGCCUACGGGAGGCAGCAGGGGGGAAGAUUGCACAAUGGGCGCAAGCCUGAUGCAGCGACGCCUCGUGGGGGAUGACGGCCUUCGGGUUGUAAACUCCUUUCGCUAGGGACGAAGCUUUUUGUGACGGUACCUAGAUAAGAAGCACCGGCUAACUACGUG
rnacentral:rRNA from 1 species